GGAGAGUUGUCCGAGUGGCCGAAGGAGCACGAUUGGAAAUCGUGUAACAUCUAAACGGGUGUUCGAGGGUUCGAAUCCCUUGCUCUCCGCCA
rnacentral:tRNA from 1 species